AGACCUCCCACCCUUGUGUAUUAUUACUUUGUUGCUUUGGCGAGCUGCCUUCGGGCCUUGUAUGCUCGCCAGAGAAUACCAAAACUCUUUUUAUUAAUGUCGUCUGAGUACUAUAUAAUAGUUAAAACUUUCAACAACGGAUCUCUUGGUUCUGGCAUCGAUGAAGAACGCAGCGAAAUGCGAUAAGUAAUGUGAAUUGCAGAAUUCAGUGAAUCAUCGAAUCUUUGAACGCACAUUGCGCCCCUUGGUAUUCCGGGGGGCAUGCCUGUUCGAGCGUCAUUUCAACCCUCAAGCUUAGCUUGGUAUUGAGUCUAUGUCAGUAAUGGCAGGCUCUAAAAUCAGUGGCGGCGCCGCUGGGUCCUGAACGUAGUAAUAUCUCUCGUUACAGGUUCUCGGUGUGCUUCUGCCAAAACCCAAAUUUUUCUAUGGUUGACCUCGGAUCAGGUAGGGAUACCCGCUGAACUUAAGCAUAUCAAUA
rnacentral:rRNA from 1 species